GCAUCUGUGCAUGCAGCAUAUCAAUAAGCGGAGGAAAAGGGGGCUAUUACCUACGCUUAGGAUGUUGACACACGCGCGUGCUCGACUCUAUACAUGACUCUGUGCAUAUCAAUAAGCGGAGGAAAAGAAACUAACAAGGAUUCCCCUAGUAACGGCGAGUGAAGCGGGAAGAGCUCAAAUUUGAAAUCUUAAAGGGUUUCCCUUUACGAAUUGUAGUUUAAAGAAGUGUUUUCUGUUGAGGUUUUGGUAAAAGUUCUUUGGAAUAGGACAUCAUAGAGGGUGAGAAUCCCGUAUUUGACCUUUACUUUCAACUUUGUGAUACACUUUCAAAGAGUCGGAUUGUUUGGGAAUGCAGUCCAAAAUGGGUGGUAAAUUUCAUCUAAAGCUAAAUAUUGGCGAGAGACCGAUAGCGAACAAGUACCGUGAGGGAAAGAUGAAAAGAACUUUGAAAAGAGAGUUAAACAGUACGUGAAAUUGUCAAAAGGGAAGCGUUUGACACCAGUGUUGUUUUUCUGAAAAUCAAUUAAAGAACUGUUUAUGCUAAGUUGUUUAGACUUUAUCAGCUAACUGUUUAGUUUUGAGCUUUUCUUUAAUGCACUUUUCAGCUAACAAGUCAACAUCAAUUUCUUUUGCUGUAAAAAAGGCUUGAGGAAGGUGGCUUGAGAUUCGUCUUAAGUGUUUAUAGCCUCUUGCCUAUGCAGUCGGAGAGAUUGAGGUCUGCAGCGUAGAUCCUUCGGGGCUAAAUGCAUUUGUGCUAAGUUAUAGCAUUUUAUAGACAACUUGUUGACUAUGAUUUGUCUUGUAGCUUACUCGCUUAUGUUAUUUUACCUACGCUUAGGAUGUUGAACGCGCACAGAGUCUC
rnacentral:rRNA from 1 species